rnacentral:lncRNA from 1 species
AAAACUUCCCAUUCUGCUGCUUUAUCGAUCCAGACCAAAUCAUUCCCAAGAGGAAACAAUCGUCAACAACAACAACGCAUUCAUGGAUGUUUACAGGGUAAGUAGUUUCUUGAUGUUUCCUUUGUUGAUUUCUAUCUGUGUUUUCAGUCUUCUCCCAAUAUCGUUCUAAAAACCCUAAUUUCCGGACAUUAUUAUGAAUACUACAUAAUAAUAAUAAUAAUAAUAAUAAUAAUAAUAAUAAAUCAUGUUCCAUGGGAAUCUUAAAAUCAAACAGUAAGGACGUUUUUCUUACAUAUCAUUCGAGCAUCAUUAGUAAUAUUCUGAAUUUCUGAUCAAACUGAACACCAAGCUUGGUUCUUCUUCACUGCAUAUCUCCAUCAUGAUUAAACCAUUCCACUUGCAUACCUCUAAAAUGGUCUUCAUAAUGAAUGCAAGUCCCUUGUAAGUCCAAUUUUUCAUUUAGAAAUUUGUAUACUUGUCAUUUAAAAAUCUUUCAAACAUUCGUAGCUUCAAAAGUAAUUUGUUCAUAUAUACUGAUUUGGUAGCAUAAUUGUAAACCGAUUAGUAAUAAUAUUUAUAAGUUCUUCACACACUGUGAGUUAUAUAAUAACCGAUACCUGAAUAAACCGGCCAACCCGUUUUCAAUUUCGGGUUUCGGGUUAGGGACAUCGGAUAUUCGGGUAACCCAAUUUAAUAUUUGUUCGGAUAUCUGGUAUGCGUAUAAAUUUUCUGGUAUAUACGAAUACCCGAUUAACUUUUAAUUUUCUAUUACAAUAUAUAUUAUACUCAUACAACAUAAUGAAAGGAUUUUCAAAAGUAUGAUGUAAUGUUAGUUUAUUAAAGCUUUUUGUAAGUUACACAAUUGGUCCCUAUAGUUUAACACCUUUUUUCGGGUAAUACCCGAUACACCCUACACCCGAAUCCGACCUAAUACCCGAAUACCUGAAUUUAAUAUGGUUCGGUUAUUGGGUAUAUUUUUUGCUUGAAAAACCCCGCAAGUUAUACUCGAUCAACACCCUACCUUAAACCCUCAUUUAUACUAAAAUCAAUAUCUAUUUUGUUGGAAAACAUAUACUUAUGUGCAGAAAUACAGUUAUGGGGACGAGGUUACUGUGGUUGAGGGACAGUAUUUAGGAAAGAGAGGACAGUAUGUUCAUCCUACCCAUGCCAUUGUCUUAGCUGAUGGAACAGUUCGGUACAAUCUCCUUUGUUUUCUAUUGUUAAAGAUCAAACUUAUAUCCAAGGUUGUAAAAAUCGUUUGAUGGUUGACUGGGGUUAAAAAACUAAUCGGUAUUGACGGGGAUUAAUCGGGGAUCAGAAUGAAAUAUUAAAAUUAAUCAAAGAUUAAUAUAUCUUAAGAAAAACUAGUACGUCAAAAUUAGAAAAUUUGUAAUUUGAAAAUACGAAAAUAUGAACAUUUUGGUAUAAUAUUCGAAAUUUUUUUAGUUUAAAUUUAAUUAUCAUCGUACAACGAAUGAGAUGGCAAACGGACAACAAGUUGUGCCGCUAAAAGUCUUUUUGUAUGGUAAAGUUAAUUCUUUUGAAGACUUCAUUUAUAGAAUAAGACACAAUGCGCAGAAAUGGAGUUGGUGAGACUCGAACUCCCGCAUUCCGCACACACAAACGAACACUAAACCACUAGGCUGCGUCACUCCUCAAAAAAGUUUGGAGUAAAAAGAAAUUGAUUUUUUGAAUUUUUUUUGAUUUUUUUUUACUUUUGUUGAUCGAUUAAUCCUGUCAAACCCGAUUUAUCCCUAAUUUCCGUCAAACACCCCUAAAUUAGUCGGUUGGAGAAUACCAAACAAUUAAUACCGAUUUCUGCAACCUUGCUUAUAUCUACUGGUGACUUGCAGGUAAUUCAUGUGGAGCCAUGGGAUCUUUGUGCUGCCACCAACCAAGCAAAAGCUGCAGUUGUUACCACCCCAAACCGUGAUUUGCCUCUUAAACAACAGGAGGUUGGGGACUCGGUUCAUAUAGAAACAGGAAAUUACCAUGGCCAAACGGGGAUGACUGACAAAAGGGGAACAAACAAAAGAUCCCGGAAUGAGUAGUUGGUGGGUUUAAUGUUAGGUAUAUAGCAUAAAUUAAUGUCUGAAGCAUUAUGGGGAACAAAUUGCAGACUCUUUUUUCUCUUGACGUGAAUCUUGUGUAAGGGAACAAUAGUAUCUCUUUGCUUUUAUGCAUUUUAAUGUCUUGUUUUGAUCUCAAGAAAUUUUGUUACAAUUUUGUUAAAAUGAA